rnacentral:rRNA from 1 species
UGGGGAAUAUUGGGGCAAUGGGGGGAAACCCUGACCCAGCAACGCCGCGUGAAGGAAGAAGGCUUUCGGGUUGUAAACUUCUUUUACCAGGGACGAAGGACGUGACGGUACCUGGAGAAAAAGCCACGGCUAACUACGUGCCAGCAGCCGCGGUAAUACGUAGGUGGCAAGCGUUGUCCGGAUUUACUGGGUGUAAAGGGCGUGUAGGCGGGAGAGCAAGUCAGAAGUGAAAUCCAUGGGCUUAACCCAUGAACUGCUUUUGAAACUGUUCUUCUUGAGUAUCGGAGAGGCAGGCGGAAUUCCUAGUGUAGCGGUGAAAUGCGUAGAUAUCACUCAGAACACCGAUUGCGAAGGCAUCUCACAAAUCCGCAAUUGACGCUGAGGCACGAAAGCGUGGGGAUCGAACAGGAUUAGAUACCCUGGUAGU